rnacentral:rRNA from 1 species
UACGUAGGGUGCAAGCGUUGUCCGGAAUUAUUGGGCGUAAAGAGCUCGUAGGCGGUUUGUUGCGUCGGCUGUGAAAUCCCGAGGCUCAACCUCGGGUCUGCAGUCGAUACGAGCAAACUAGAGUGUUGCAGGGGAGACUGGAAUUCCUGGUGUAGCGGUGAAAUGCGCAGAUAUUAGGAGGAACACCAGUGGCGAAGGCGAGUCUCUGGCACGCAUCUGACGCUGAAACACGAAAGCCAGGGGAGCGAACGGG